CCCAGUUCGGAUUGUAGUCUGCAACCCGACUACAUGAAGCUGGAAUCGCUAGUAAUCGCAGGUCAGCAUACUGCGGUGAAUACGUUCCCGGGCCUUGUACACACCGCCCGUCACACCAUGAGAGUCGGGAACACCCGAAGUCCGUAGCCUAACCGCGAAGGGGGGCGCGGCCGAAGGUGGGUUCGAUAAUUGGGGUGAAGUCGUAACAAGGUACC
rnacentral:rRNA from 1 species